rnacentral:rRNA from 1 species
AGGCCGUAAACCCAAGGUUUCCAGGGGAAGGUUCGUCCGCCCUGGGUUAGUCGGGACCUAAGCUGAGGCCGAAAGGCGUAGGUGAUGGACAACAGGUUGAUAUUCCUGUACUACCGAUAACCGUUUGAGAGAGGGGAUGACACAGUAGGAUAAGCUAAGCACACUGUUGGUUAUGUGUGCCCAAGCAUUGAGGCAGUCAAAGUAGGCAAAUCCGCUUUGAUAAUGCUGGGAUGUGAUGGGGAGCGAAAUUUAGUAGCGAAGUAGCUGAUUUCACACUGUCAAGAAAAGUCUCUAUCGCGGUUAAAGGUACCCGUACCGCAAACCGACACAGGUGGGUGAGGAGAGUAUCCUAAGGCCAGCGAGAGAACUGUUGUUAAGGAACUCGGCAAAAUGACCCCGUAACUUAGGGAUAAGGGGUGCCACCAUCA